rnacentral:misc_RNA from 1 species
UUAGAAAAAGUCCAAGACUUCGUGGGGUGUUCAAUCUUGUGUGUUCCCUAGUCCUUGUGUUUAUGUUCUACAACCGUGAAGAUAUUGUGAGCAAUCCAAUUAUAAAGAAGUCAUCUUUAGUUUCUAGUCAGUGGAACCCAAGCAGUAGAUUUGAUGGUUAUUCUUCACAUACCCGAGUGGUUCGUCGAGGGAUGUUAGAAGUGAACGGGUCGGAUGCUGAUGAUUUGGUGGUAAAAAAGCCUCAGUUAUGUGCAGGAUUGUUUGAUCAUGUGGGGUUUAAAAGUAGUUGUGACUUCUUGAAAGUUCACCCGGAUUGCUCGUCUGGAGGGUUCUUUGAUUACCUUAAGUUCUAUUACUGUGGUUGUAAUGGAAGUGCGUGGGCGUUUGUAGUAUUUGGUGUCUG